rnacentral:rRNA from 1 species
AUUGAACGCUGGCGGAAUGCUUUACACAUGCAAGUCGAGCGGCAGCGCGGCCUUCGGGCUGGCGGCGAGCGGCGAACGGGUGAGUAAUGCAUCGGAACAUGCCCAGUCGUGGGGGAUAACACUUCGAAAGAAGUGCUAAUACCGCAUACGUCCUGAGGGGGAAAGCGGGGGAUCGCAAGACCUCGCGCGAUUGGAGUGGCCGAUGUCAGAUUAGCUAGUUGGUGGGGUAAAGGCCUACCAAGGCGACGAUCUGUAGCUGGUCUGAGAGGAUGAUCAGCCAAAAUGGGACCGAGACAAGGCCCAGACUCCCAAGGGAGGGAGGAGGUGGGAAUUUUGGGAAAAGGGGGCAACCCUGAUCCAGCCAUUCCGCGUGAGUGAAGAAGGCCUUCGGGUUGUAAAGCUCUUUCGGCAGGAACGAAACGGUGGGCUCUAACAUAGUCCGCUAAUGACGGUACCUGAAGAAGAAGCACCGGCUAACUACGUG